rnacentral:lncRNA from 1 species
UCUAAGACCCCGUUCACACUAGGACAUUUUUAUCGAUUUAAACUAGACCGGUUCACUUUAGAUCGGUUUAAGGGCUAAUGUGAACCACGGGGGGUAACUUCCUGUUAUUGGGUAUACAGGGAUGUGCCAAAAAUAUGGGUCAUAAUUUUGCGAGAUUUUAUAUAAAAAUGGGCCUCCUUUUUAAUGACAUCCUAUAUUAAAAUGCAUUUACGUUUGAUAACUGUAUAUUGAUUUGGGGUAUGAUCUACAUAUCAUAUAUAAAUAUGCUACCGGUAUUGAGAAUCUUACAUUAUUAAUGGUCAAUUAAUAUUAAAUUGAAUCAAUUCAUUUGAAAGUUCACCUUUCAAAUAAGUUCCCAAAUGUGCACCAAACGAUGUCAAUUCAUAUAAAAACUUAAGGGUAGCUGGUAUAUUUAUGAAUUAUCAGGGAGUGAUGAUGAGUUAGUGCUUAUAUAUAUAUAUAUAUAUAUAAGCAUGGGUCAUAUUUUAAAUAUUGUAUAUAAAUAUAGGUCAUUCUUUCUUAAAUAUUUAUAUAACUAUAGGUACUGAAUUUCAGUGAAUGUUAUAUUAAAAUGGGUACGUUUUUUGAGGCAAAAAUGGCACACCCCUACCAAAAAAAUAUCGAAGUUACCCCCCCGUGAUGUGAACGCAUUGAAUCGAUCUUCAAUCGGUCUAAACUAAAACACCAAAAGAGGUAGUUUAGUUUGAAUCGAUCUAAAGUAAACCGAUCUUACUUUAGAUGUGAACGCAGAGAUCGGUUUAAACUAGAACGAUUGAAUCGAAAAUAACGUAUGCGCAUGUAUAGCGGCAAAACUAUCUCAGAGGUUCGUUGUUUAACCCAUAUUUCUCUGUUAAAAGACCUUUAAAACAAACUGUAAACAUGUUGUCUUCGCCAUAGCAUAGAUUUGCGAAGUCUGUGUCUUCUUUUCUUAUGUUGAUUUUUUUUCUUUGCAGGAACCGCAGUAUUUCCGGCGUCGUGUUGUUACUUCGUUGCUACAGUUAUUUUUUUUCAAAAUUAAAGAAAACUGCAAUAACACCAGUAUCAAAAUUUUAAAUUGUGAUUCAAGAGAAACAAUAACUUUAUCCAAUUUUUUUUCCCAAGUGUGUGUAUCAGUGUAUCAGCACAUGAAUUUGAUAAAUCAGUUCUAUUUAUACACAGUGUUUACAGUUUUACGGGCAAAAAGGUUAGAUCGAUUACGUUUUUAAUUGUAGUGUGAACGCAGUGGUUCAUAUUAGACCGAUAGAGAUCGAUAUGAUUAAAGAUAAUGUGAACGCUAACUGGUUUUAUUUAG